rnacentral:rRNA from 1 species
AUACGAAGGGGGCUAGCGUUGUUCGGAAUCACUGGGCGUAAAGCGCGCGUAGGUGGAUCAAUUAGUUGAGGGUGAAAUCCCGGGGCUCAACCUCGGAACUGCCUUCAAUACUGUUAAUCUUGAGACCGAGAGAGGUGAGUGGAAUUCCUAGUGUAGAGGUGAAAUUCGUAGAUAUUAGGAAGAACACCAGUGGCGAAGGCGGCUCACUGGCUCGGUACUGACGCUGAGGUGCGAAAGCGUGGGGAGCAAACAGGAUUAGAAACCCUAGUAGUCC